ACGGGAGGCAGCAGUGGGGAAUAUUGCACAAUGGGGGAAACCCUGAUGCAGCGACGCCGCGUGAGUGAAGAAGUAUUUCGGUAUGUAAAGCUCUAUCAGCAGGAAAGAAAAUGACGGUACCUGACUAAGAAGCCCCGGCUAACUACGUGCCAGCAGCCGCGGUAAUACGUAGGGGGCAAGCGUUAUCCGGAUUUACUGGGUGUAAAGGGAGCGUAGACGGUAAGGCAAGUCUGAAGUGAAAUGCCAGGGCUCAACCCUGGAACUGCUUUGGAAACUGUCCUACUAGAGUGCAGGAGAGGUAAGUGGAAUUCCUAGUGUAGCGGUGAAAUGCGUAGAUAUUAGGAGGAACACCAGUGGCGAAGGCGGCUUACUGGACGAUAACUGACGUUGAGGCUCGAAAGCGUGGGGAGCAAACAGGAUUAGAUACCCUGGUA
rnacentral:rRNA from 1 species